CCUACGGGCGGCAGCAGUGGGGAAUAUUGCACAAUGGGGGAAACCCUGAUGCAGCGACGCCGCGUGAGUGAAGAAGUAUUUCGGUAUGUAAAGCUCUAUCAGCAGGGAAGAAGAAAGACGGUACCUGACUAAGAAGCCCCGGCUAACUACGUGCCAGCAGCCGCGGUAAUACGUAGGGGGCAAGCGUUAUCCGGAUUUACUGGGUGGAAAGGGAGCGUAGACGGCUGUACAAGUCUGAAGUGAAAGCCCAGGGCUCAACCCUGGGACUGCUUUGGAAACUGUGGAGCUAGAGUGCUGGAGAGGUAAGUGGAAUUCCUAGUGUAGCGGUGAAAGGCGUAGAUAUUAGGAGGAACACCAGUGGCGAAGGCGGCUUACUGGACAGUAACUGACGUUGAGGCUCGAAAGCGUGGGGAGCAAACAGGAUUAGAUACCCGUGUAGUC
rnacentral:rRNA from 1 species